AGCCCCAACCAUUGGGGAUAGCCUACUCAAGCUUUGGUUCCCUAAAAAACGCGCAUCAAAGCCACAAAAUAAAAUCUGAAUUUUUUUUCUCUUAGAGUUGAUUCUCAGGUCGACGACAAUUUCUUGAGGGCUUCCAUGAUUUGGACCUGGUACUUCCCCCUUUCGGAGGGCGAGGGAGAACCCUAAGCUUAUAAAGAAGAAUUCACUCAAUUGUGUAUGUUUAAACACAAACAUACGUCAUCCAUGUUGAAAUAUAAAGGUCGGAGCAAGCAGAAGCCAGCUUCCCAGUCUCAGAUAGAAAGCUCAAAUGCUCUUGAGAGAAGAGUGAAUAGCCGGAAAAAUGUUGAACCAGGUCACUAGCUUAGAGAUUUGCAUGAACCACACUGGGAUGAACCAUGUUUUGGCUGCUUACGAUGUGGUGGGUUGGGGGGUGACUUUCUUGGAUAUGACCAAAUACUAUUUCUCUUUGUGUGUACCUGUGGAGGUUGCACAAAACAAAGAUUAUUUACUGCUGUAGAAUGGGUUAAUUGAGAAAAGUGGCAUUUCCAAUCAGUUGCUGGGUAAAACAUGGUAAAUGGAAACUCUCUGUACCAAAUUUUGUAUAUUAUUUAUUUAUUUAUUAUGCAACCUGAAAACCGUAAUUAUUUUCUUUAUCAGGGAAUGGAACAAAGUUAAUUGGUAUGUUAUAUUAGCAUUUCAGGGUGUUGCAUUAAGUGACAACUCUUAUUUCCUGAGAGAAUAUUCUCUCCUUCACCAGCCCUCACAUAAUUAACCCCCAAGCCCUCUCUUUUUCAUUCAUAUUUUUAGAAAUUUUGACAUUAGAUUUUUCGGUGGUGGGACUGAACCUAGCUCCUUGUACUUUUUAUCACAUUAGUUGUUGUAUUAAACCUAAUUCCUAAUUGAACAUAUUCUUUGUUUUGGGGACAUUGAAUACUGUUUCCUCAUUUGCCCUUUUCAAGAGCUACUCAAUCUUCAUUUUGAAAUAGAUAGUUUUAUGAAUAAUGUCCAGGUAUGGUUCUGCUUGACGCUGAAGGGUACAACAUAGAGGGUCCAUAAUAAUCUACCAAAUAUUCAACUUUGGAAAUUAAUUCCUUUUGUUUUUCUUAAAUGAUCAAGGGACAUAGAGGGCUUCAAAGAAGUUGUCCUCCCUCCAGGGCAAGGGGCACCAUCGUUCCACAAGGUCUCCAAAGAUUCAGAAAUAAAGAUUGGUUCAAGCAGAAGCCAUCUUCCCAGUAGUCAUAUAAAAUGCUCAAAAUGCUCACUGCUUACUGCUAUUCCAGUUGUAAAGAUUUUUCUUUUAUGUCAGGAAAAGAAGUAGCCUUAUUUUUUAACCACUCCUCUGUUACCAUCUCUGUGUUUUGUUGUAUGUGUUGUUUAAGCAAUGGUGAGAUACUUUUGUGAGCCACCAUGUUUGAAAUUGGUUUCCUUUUCUUCCCCUUAAUGGACAAAUAAGUAUUUUACAAAAAUUCAGAAGACAUAAUUUAUUAUAUAUAUAUAUAAAAUAAAAAUGGGCUCAGAUGAAUAUACAAGCAGGUGAACUAAGGCCCACUAUGAUCAGAAGGAAAACAAGGGAUAAUAAGAGUGAUGAGAUCAGACAGAGUCAGAUAGCACUGGAAAUAGAAGAAAAUACCAGAACUUGCAUGGCUCCCUCCCAGGUGUUGAACGGUGACCAUAACAAGACAGAAUGUUCACGAGAGACUUGAGGGAUCUGUCCGCCCAUGCUUACCCCGCACAGCAUCAUCACUCUAAUAAACGUGAUUCAACUUUGUAACCGAUGACUGGUGUAUCCAUUCCAUUUAUAGCUCAAUGCCGUCAACCCUCUGCUUUACCCUAUAAAGAAUUCUUGGGGAAGGAUAGCAUUCGACUACUCUACAUAUUAGUUGGCAAUGGUUUAGUUUUUCACGGGGAAUGGGAAAUGAAAUUUUUUUUUUUCUUGAUACAAUGUGACUAACUAGCUUAACCCACACGUCUGUAACUUCUUUUUCCAUAUUUGAUAAUACUGGGAAAGGAACUAGUAAAAUGCAUUUUAUUCUAUACCAUGUUUGGUUUGUGCAUGGAAUGGAAACAAACUUUAUUUAGUUUUAUAAUUAGACCCAUAAAUUAGAAAUAUGCAUGCAAAAAAAAAUGUAAUGUGUCUGUAUUUUUAAUUGUUAAUAAGGGCAUAUUGGUCAUUAAAAAGUAUAAUUAAUGUCUACCUUGGUUUUCCAUGGGAAAGGAAAAUGAAACCUGUUAAGCUCAUAAUUUCAUAUAUAUACAUGCCCUAUUUACUUACUCCUUUUAUUUAGUUUCUUAGAAUUCUAAGUCAU